rnacentral:rRNA from 1 species
UACGAAGGGGGCUAGCGUUGUUCGGAAUUACUGGGCGUAAAGGGCGCGUAGGCGGUACUUCAAGUCAGGCGUGAAAGCCCCGGGCUCAACCUGGGAACCGCGCUUGAGACUGGAGAACUAGAGUUCGGGAGAGGAUGGUGGAAUUCCCAGUGUAGCGGUGAAAUGCGUAGAUAUUGGGAGGAACACCAGUGGCGAAGGCGGCUCACUGGACCGGUUCUGACGCUGAGGCGCGAAAGCGUGGGGAGCAAACGGG